rnacentral:snRNA from 1 species
UAGUCUUACAGCUCUUUUGGAAUUUAUCUAGCAGGUUUUCUGUGUUGUUGUUUUUUCUCCUGGAACCACCCCA